UUUGUGAGGGGGAGGAGUUGAUACCUCCUGCUGCCUCCUCUGACCCUCCUGCUCCUCCUCUGCAGUCACAUCACAGGAGUACAAGUCCUUUCCUCCAGGGACCUUUUUCACUAUUUGUGCAGUAUAGGCACUUGUGCCCUUGGGUCUGGAGAUGCCAGAAGAUGUUUGCAAGCACAGGUGGCUGAAACCAAUGUUUGGGUUUAUGUUCCAAGGACAACUUGGGUAACUGCUCUGGACACAUACAAUUCCUUCUCAGCUGUAGGUAUAAGAGUUUUGGAAAACUUUGCUACAUGCAGGGUGUGGAUGUCCUUUGGAUGUGUGACACAGGGUCUCCACAAACAAGGAGUUGUGUGCAUUGCCAGGCAGGACCCCAGGACAAAUGGGGACGUGGGUGGACUAAGGAACUGCAAGGGGAUAUGAGUUUGGAUCCCUCAGGGGAGCCCUGAUUUGCCCCUAUAAAUGUGAACUGAUGUUACCUCUCUGCCCUGCACAGAAAUCUUUACCUUACAUGACGCAUAUAGACAGAUAAAAUACAUUUCACUCAUUUUUUAAAGCCUAAAAUCAUUAAGUAACAUAACACAAGAAGUGCAUCAGGAUCCAAUUGACACAUUCUUAAGUGAGCUGAAUUGCAGUGGGCCUUUCACAAUAGCUUUGGUUAUAAAUUCAAAGGAGAGAGAAUGUUCUACCUCCUUCUGUGGAGCACACAGGAUUUCAUAAUGGAUUAUACCUGGUACCUACAGAUACUUCUUUGUGCUAUUGCCAGGUUAUAUCUUAGGAGGAAUUCAAGGCUGAAUCACUGCAAUUAUUAACAGCACUAUUGUUUCCUUCAUGGCCCCUGGACACAAUUACCCCAUACAGACUCUGCCAAAGAUAAGGAGAUACAUACCUUUUCUUUUCAGGCAUCCUCUGACCUUGCCCUUCUCUUAGGAGGCUGUUUUGUAGGGUGAUGUAGGGACUAAUUAAAUCAAAAGAGGAGCUCUUUGGUAGCUAAAUACCACUUCAGACAAUCAAAGAAAUAUUUUAUUUAUUUUCAUUUUAAAUUGGAUUGUUAAAAUUGUUAAAAAGAAUUACUAGCUUUGAAUGUCUUGAUUUAUGAUCAGAUUCUUUCCCAGCUUUGGAAACUCAUAAAGUAAGACAAAAUUUACUGGGGGCACGUGGUGUAUGAAGAAGCUUUUGCACAGGGAGUGACAGAGAUGCCUGGAAUUUUAUGAAAAUGAAGAUACUGAGCUAUCAGCAUGCCUGAUUAAUUAACACUUGUUUAUGUUCUGUUUCUUUCAACCAUAUUUCAACACCCUAGAUCUGAUUCUAAUAAAAACCCUUUGAGAGUUUUUUUCCUUCCA
rnacentral:lncRNA from 1 species